rnacentral:rRNA from 1 species
AGCAGCCGCGGUAAUUCCAGCUCCAAUAGCGUAUAUUAAAGUUGUUGCAGUUAAAAAGCUCGUAGUUGAAUUUCGGGAUCAGUACGCUGGUCGUGCCUCCGGUACGUACUGGUGUCACUGGUUCCUCCCUUCUGAAGAACCAUCAUGCUAUUAAUUUAGUGUGGUGGGAAAUCAGGACUGUUACUUUGAAAAAAUUAGAGUGUUUAAAGCAGGCUCACGCUUGAAUACAUUAGCAUGGAAUAAUGAAAUAGGACGUUGAUCCUAUUUUGUUGGUUUCUAGGAUUGACGUAAUGAUUAAUAGGGAUAGUUGGGGGCAUUAGUAUUCAAUUGUCAGAGGUGAAAUUCUUGGAUUUAUUGAAGACUAACUACUGCGAAAGCAUUUGCCAAGGAUGUUUUCAUUAAUCAAGAACGAAAGUUAGGGGAUCGAAGACGAUCAGAUACCGUCGUAGUCUUAACCAUAAACUAUGCCGACUAGGGAUCGGAUGAUGUUAAUUUUUUAAUGUA